GUGCCAGCAGCCGCGGUAAUACGGAGGAUGCAAGCGUUAUCCGGAAUGAUUGGGCGUAAAGCGUCCGCAGGUGGCUAUGUAAGUCUGCUGUUAAAGAGCAAAGCUUAACUUUGUAAAAGCAGUGGAAACUACAGAGCUAGAGUGCGUUCGGGGUAGAGGGAAUUCCUGGUGUAGCGGUGAAAUGCGUAGAGAUCAGGAAGAACACCGGUGGCGAAGGCGCUCUACUAGGCCGCAACUGACACUGAGGGACGAAAGCUAGGGGAGCGAAUGGGAUUAGAAACCCGCGUAGUCC
rnacentral:rRNA from 1 species